CAAAACUUUAGCCUCCUGAUGUGAAGAGCCGACUCAUUGGAAAAGACUGUGAUGCUGGGAAAGAUUGAAGGCAGCCAGAGAAGGGGAUGAAAGAAGAUGAGAUGGUUCAGUGGCAUCACUGACUCAAUGGACAUGAGAUUGAGCAACCUCUGGGAGAUAGUGAUAAACAGGGAAGCCUGGCGUGCUGCAGUCCAUGGGUUCGCAAAGUCGGAUACGACCGAGCGACUGAACCAGGCAGCAAGGUUCAAGCUUUGCUUGACAUCCAGUCACUCUCCCCACUUUCCGCUUGAUGGAGCAGGUCUACACCCGCUGUGGCUUCUCAACAUCAGGGGAACUGACUCAACACCCGAUGCGUGCACGUGUUUUUCACAAGGGAAGCUGGGAGGUACAAUCUCUGUACAAGAUAAUCUCUGGCAUCGUCACACUUGAGAAGCUGAAGAAGCUGUGAAGUCACCAUCACCCAUUCCAAAAUCCUAAGCCUAAGAGAAGCCAAUGACGAAAUUCUUGUGACAUCGCAAAACAGAUCAAUGGUGGUGAAAAUGCGUGACAUAUACAGGUGCCAUGGGACCUACCUCAUUGAUAAGUGUACUGUGAAUUGUGUUCAGCUCAAGGCUUCCUCCCACAGUGGAAGCACCUCCUCUUCUCAGAGGCUCCAUGACCCCAUCCCAUUCAUAAACCAGAGCCUGAGCUUAUGAAUGAAUCACACACAGAGCUGAGAAGUCUCACAGAGAGGACUCCUGACCCUCUGCCCUCACUCCAUCCCCCCUACAAUCUAAUUCAUCAAAUCUGGUUACUGGUUUCAAGUCUAACUUUAAGUUAAUUUUGGAUAUACUACUUCUCACUCCAAAGUAGAAAAGAGCUGGAGUGCUUCCUAGUUAGAGGAAAUAAUCAUGGAAGUGUUUCUUAGAGUUAAUCAAAGGUACUCUUCUUUCCUAUAUUAAAAUACGCAAAAUUAAAUUAUACCAAGAUUGGUCUUUAUUCUUUUCAUUCCCUCAUAGGUUUGAGUUGUCACCUGAAUGGUGCUCUAUUUCUAAAUAGCAUUUCUCUCCCCAGCACACGAGCUAUUUUAUUUGUCUGGCUUACACAGCUGCCAGCCUCAGCAGUGUCAUACACCUGGCAUUUCCACUCCCCCGUGUUUUUGCCUUUCCAGCCAAGAACUCUGGCCUUCUGUACCUGCUCCCCACUAAAGAACACUUUCUUCAAUGUAACUUGACAACCCAAUUCGAUUCAAUCCCCAAGCAUUACAUUUCCAUUCAGUGCAUUUGUACCUCUCAGUUCUCAAUUAAGAAGGAAAUAUGGUCCAUGUACCCCCUACAUCUUACAGCAGGAAGAAAAAUGUAUGUAGCUGGAUUAAAUCAAAACUCCCAGCAAGCGAAGAUACAAAAGUCAGAUCAGAAGGAAAGAGCUGCCCUUCUCU
rnacentral:lncRNA from 1 species